rnacentral:rRNA from 1 species
AGAGUUUGAUCCUGGCUCAGGAUGAACGCUGGCGGCGUGCUUAACACAUGCAAGUCGAACGAAGCACUUUAACCUGAUUCUUCGGAUGAAGGUUUUUGUGACUGAGUGGCGGACGGGUGAGUAACGCGUGGGUAACCUGCCUCAUACAGGGGGAUAACAGUUAGAAAUGACUGCUAAUACCGCAUAAGACCACGGAGCUGCAUGGCUCAGUGGGAAAAACUCCGGUGGUAUGAGAUGGACCCGCGUCUGAUUAGGUAGUUGGUGGGGUAACGGCCUACCAAGCCAACGAUCAGUAGCCGACCUGAGAGGGUGACCGGCCACAUUGGGACUGAGACACGGCCCAAACUCCUACGGGAGGCAGCAGUGGGGAAUAUUGCACAAUGGGGGAAACCCUGAUGCAGCGACGCCGCGUGAGCGAAGAAGGUUUUCGGAUUGUAAACCUCUGUCCUAUGUGACGAAGGAAGUGACGGUAGCAUAGGAGGAAGCCCCGGCUAACUACGUGCCAGCAGCCGCGGUAAUACGUAGGGGGCGAGCGUUGUCCGGAAUUACUGGGCGUAAAGGGUGCGUAGGCGGUUUGGUAAGUUGGAUGUGAAAUACCCGGGCUUAACUUGGGGGCUGCAUCCAAUACUGUCGGACUUGAGUGCAGGAGAGGAAAGCGGAAUUCCUAGUGUAGCGGUGAAAUGCGUAGAUAUUAGGAGGAACACCAGUGGCGAAGGCGGCUUACUGGACGGUAACUGACGUUGAGGCUCGAAAGCGUGGGGAGCAAACAGGAUUAGAUACCCUGGUAGUCCACGCCGUAAACGAUGACUACUAGGUGUCGGGCAGCAAAGCUGUUCGGUGCCGCAGCAAACGCAAUAAGUAGUCCACCUGGGGAGUACGUUCGCAAGAAUGAAACUCAAAGGAAUUGACGGGGGCCCGCACAAGCAGCGGAGCAUGUGGCUUAAUUCGAAGCAACGCGAAGAACCUUACCAGGGCUUGACAUAUGGGUGAAGCGGGGGAGACCCCGUGGCCGAGAGGAGCCCAUACAGGUGGUGCAUGGCUGUCGUCAGCUCGUGUCGUGAGAUGUUGGGUUAAGUCCCGCAACGAGCGCAACCCCCGCCGCGUGUUGCCAUCGGGUGAUGCCGGGAACCCACGCGGGACCGCCGCCGUCAAGGCGGAGGAGGGCGGGGACGACGUCAAGUCAUCAUGCCCCUUAUGCCCUGGGCUGCACACGUGCUACAAUGGCCGGUACAGAGGGAUGCCACCCCGCGAGGGGGAGCGGAUCCCGGAAAGCCGGCCCCAGUUCGGAUUGGGGGCUGCAACCCGCCCCCAUGAAGUCGGAGUUGCUAGUAAUCGCGGAUCAGCAUGCCGCGGUGAAUGCGUUCCCGGGCCUUGCACACACCGCCCGUCA